rnacentral:rRNA from 1 species
ACGAACGCUGGCGGCAUUCCUAACACAUUCAAGUCGAACGAGACCUUCGGGUCUAGUGGCGCACGGGUGCGUAACGCGUGGGAACCUGCCCUUAGGUUCGGAAUAACUCCCCGAAAUGGGUGCUAAUACCGAAUAAUGUCUUCUGACCAAAGAUUUAUCGCCUUUGGAUGGUCCCGAGUUGGAUUAGCUAGUUGGUAGGGUAAAAGCCUACCAAGGCGACGAUCCAUAGCUGGUCUGAGAGGAUGAUCAGCCACACUGGGACUGAGACACGGCCCAGACUCCUACGGGAGGCAGCAGUGGGUAAUAUUGGACAAUGGGCGAAAGCCUGAUCCAGCAAUGACGCGUGAGUGAUGAAGGCCUUAGGGUUGUAAAGCUCUUUUACCUGGGCUGAUAAUGACAGUACCGGGAGAAUAAGCUACGGCUAACUACGUG